rnacentral:rRNA from 1 species
UGUGCCCUUGAGGCGUGGCUUCCGGAGCUAACGCGUUAAGUCGACCGCCUGGGGAGUACGGCCGCAAGGUUAAAACUCAAAUGAAUUGACGGGGGCCCGCACAAGCGGUGGAGCAUGUGGUUUAAUUCGAUGCAACGCGAAGAACCUUACCUGGUCUUGACAUCCACGGAAGUUUUCAGAGAUGAGAAUGUGCCUUCGGGAACCGUGAGACAGGUGCUGCAUGGCUGUCGUCAGCUCGUGUUGUGAAAUGUUGGGUUAAGUCCCGCAACGAGCGCAACCCUUAUCCUUUGUUGCCAGCGGUCCGGCCGGGAACUCAAAGGAGACUGCCAGUGAUAAACUGGAGGAAGGUGGGGAUGACGUCAAGUCAUCAUGGCCCUUACGACCAGGGCUACACACGUGCUACAAUGGCGCAUACAAAGAGAAGCGACCUCGCGAGAGCAAGCGGAUCUCAUAAAGUGCGUCGUAGUCCGGAUUGGAGUCUGCAACUCGACUCCAUGAAGUCGGAAUCGCUAGUAAUCGUGGAUCAGAAUGCCACGGUGAAUACGUUCCCGGGCCUUGUACACACCGCCCGUCACACCAUGGGAGUGGGUUGCAAAAGAAGUAGGUAGCUUAACCUUCGGGAGGGCGCUUACCACUUUGUGAUUCAUGACUGGGGUGAAGUCGUAACAAGGUAACCGUAGGGGAACCUGCGGUUGGAUCACCUCCUUACCUUAAAGAAGC